rnacentral:misc_RNA from 1 species
CAAUAGCGGACACCCAAGAACGCACG